UGUAAUAUUUUUGCAACUACAAUGCUGAUGUCAACACAAGCGUGGUUACAGCGAGACUGACUGAGUGAGGGAGAGCUGUGCGUGUGUGAGGUUGCGGGAGCAGGCGGUGUCCUGUGUUCAGUGCCACGCGCGAGUUGAAUGGCGCGCAAUUUGAAUGUACUUCAAUUACUUCAAUGUACAGAAUAUUCCUCCGGCGGGGCAAUCCGUGUAUUAUAAACCCACGUAUGUUAAGGGCCGACUGUACUGUACCCGUAAUUCAUGAGAAGCUAAAUAAUCGAGAUAUGUAACUUUGCUAAUUGAAAAUAGAUGACAUACAGGUACAGUUAAUCAUAAUAAAAAUUAUGAACUUCACCAGCAUCACAUUCACUUGUUUUCUCUGAUGUAACUUCAGACAAAACAAGAUGAUUUUCAUUUUCAUCUUUGACACUUUUGGUACAUUUUACCCGAAACAGAGAUAUUGAUGUUUGAAAACCAGAAAAAUUCUAAGCAGUAGCGAGAAUUUUAUUUUUUACUUAACGAGUUCAGACAAAAAAAGACAAUUUUCUUCUAUGACACUUUUCUCGGAUGUUACCCAUAACCGAGAUAAUACGUGGUUGAUAGCACCAAACAAACAUAGCUAACUUCCUAACAGGUGGGACCCCCCCCCCUCCCUCGGCAUAUUAAAUAUGUUCUAGGUUUCGCUAGGAAAACGUCAUAGAAGAAAAGGGUCUUACUUUUGCAAAGAAAAAUCCUGAGAUUCGUUAGGUGGCAACAGAUGCAAUGCUGUAAUGGCUUUUCUAGUUUUCCAAUUUUUCAACUCCUGAUUUGUUUUUCUUUUUCAUGGCCUUUAAUGUUCCUUCAGCAUGGUAAAUGAGAAGUGGUUCGAGUGCAAGAGGCGGCAGGAAAGAUCCCCAACUUGUGUAACGCAACGCAAACCUCUUCAACUUCCAUCGAGCUACAAAUAACGAUUGAAAUGUGCAGGGGCUAAAUUCCCCAAUGACUUACCGUCAUCCUUACGAGCAACCUUAAGACUGAACAGGGGAUUCAACAACAGUUUAUGACGCCCGUAACUGAACUUAUCGUACAGCAAGUUACGAUGACCUCCGAAAGGCAGAAAGAGGUUCUUGUACCUCCUGUUUUUCUACUAUACAACCCAUACCAAAACACACACAGCUGCCAGAUGUAUCGUACUUAUAAGUUUCACUCGCAAGUGAAGAUGGAACCAAGGAUUGCUUUAGUUCAUAACCAUGCACUCUGCAGGGAAAGGGCAUUUUGGGAUCCAUUGGACCCAGAACAAAUCAGUGACCACCUACUGCUAUGGUACUACAUAGUUUCACACAAGGAUAUACAGUACUCUGGCAGCUAUUGGUCAAGUGGCAAGGUCUCGUGCGGUCCCAAGACUCCCAAUGCAUACGCCUGUGCUAAUAGCUUCAAGGUUUUUCGUAAGUAGAAGUUUCCCGAGUGUAGAAGAUGUUCCUGGCUUAAGCCAAUCAACAGUGUCAAGAAUUAUGAAGUGACAUUAGCCCUUAAAAUAAUGGUAAUAAUAAUAAAUUAGUUUUAUUAUA